rnacentral:rRNA from 1 species
AGCAGCCGCGGUAAUUCCAGCUCCAAUAGCGUAUAUUAAAGUUGUUGCGGUUAAAAAGCUCGUAGUUGAAUUUCGGGGUCAGUAGGUCGGUCGUGCCACUGGUAUGAACUGGUUUUACUGAUUCCUCCCUCUUGAAGAACUGUAAUGCCAUUAAUUUGGUGUUGCAGGGAAUCAGGACUGUUACUUUGAAAAAAUUAGAGUGUUUAAAGCAGGCUUUAGCUUGAAUACAUUAGCAUGGAAUAAUGAAAUAGGACGUUUGAUCCUAUUUUGUUGGUUUCUAGGAUUGACGUAAUGAUUAAUAGGGAUAGUUGGGGGCAUUAGUAUUCAAUUGUCAGAGGUGAAAUUCUUGGAUUUAUUGAAGACUAACUACUGCGAAAGCAUUUGCCAAGGAUGUUUUCAUUAAUCAAGAACGAAAGUUAGGGGAUCGAAGACGAUCAGAUACCGUCGUAGUCUUAACCAUAAACUAUGCCGACUAGGGAUCGGAUGAUGUUAAUUUUUUAAUGACUCAUUCGGCGCCUUACG